UCCAUUUCGCUCUCUGAGCUCGACUCUGCGCAAUCCAUCAAAUAACUGCUGGGCACACAUAUACACAACAAAAGUGGCAGGAAGAUUAAAAGCCUGCACGAUACACAUCUCACUUGCUGUCAGGAAAUAUGGCACGUACGGUCAUCGUGACAAGCCGCAUAAAUAUGAAUUAAGAACCUACGUUGUGAAAUGCACAGGUGCCUAGAUAGAUAGAUGGAUACAUAAAUAUCAUUGGAUAGUUUGGAGGAUAGAUGGCUGGAUGAAAGGACAGACAGCACACAAACGUGUGGGUGGAUUGAUGAAAGGAUGAACCAAGUAAAUAGAAAAAGCUUAGAAAAAUGCGAGGUUCCUUCGAGGUUGGACAUUCGCACGCAGCUUGUCACAGUCGGCGGGUGUCCUAAGACGGAGGAUGAUGUUUAAUACCUGUGGUGGGGUGGACGACGAUGGAGGCGCGGCAGGUGGGGCGGCAGGCCCGGCGGCUUGCAGGGCGGCGGCAGCGUAGCUCAACUUGUUACUCUGUGGUGACGCUACAAGUUGAAAAGAG